UACGUAGGGUGCGAGCGUUGUCCGGAAUUAUUGGGCGUAAAGGGCUCGUAGGCGGUCUGUUGCGUCGGGAGUGAAAACUCAGGGCUUAACCCUGAGCCUGCUUCCGAUACGGGCAGACUAGAGGUAUGCAGGGGAGAACGGAAUUCCUGGUGUAGCGGUGAAAUGCGCAGAUAUCAGGAGGAACACCGGUGGCGAAGGCGGGUCUCUGGGCCGAUACUGACGCCGAGGAGCGAAAGCGUGGGGAGCAAACAGG
rnacentral:rRNA from 1 species